GGCGACGGCGAAAAAACUCCACCCCCACAGCAAAUUGGCGACGAACACAUCUACUCAUCGCCCGUUCGAGAGAAAAAUCAUGGAAAAUUCCAUAACCAUUACCAAAUUGACAAAACCCUAAAUCGCUCUCCACCUUUUACGCCUCAACCAAUAAAAUCGAAGAAACAGAAGCCGUUUAUGGAGUUAUUUUCCUCCACUUCUGCGAACUUCAGCGCCUCAAACGCAGAAUCGGCGACGAAACCUAAAUCCUCCGAAUCUCACCGCUUCACCAUUAUCGGUGAAAUCGAAGCCGUCUACGGCGUUAUUUUCCUCCACUGCUUCUAACUUAACAGCCUCAAACACUGAUUCAGCGACUUAAGCAUAAAUCCUAAGUAUCUAACUGCCUGCACCGAUGAACACGGACAAGCAGAAGACGCAAACGGAGACGAAAUCCUAUCCAUCACCAGAAAAAGACGAUAAAAUGGGAGGUACACUGAACAAAAUUGAAAGCAAAAGGAAGAAGCAUUUACAAAAUAUAGCAGGU